AACGAACGCUGGCGGCAGGCCUAACACAUGCAAGUCGAGCGGACCCUUCGGGGUUAGCGGCGGACGGGUGAGUAACGCGUGGGAAUAUGCCCUUCUCUACGGAAUAGUCCUGGGAAACUGGGGGUAAUACCGUAUACGCCCUUUGGGGGAAAGAUUUAUCGGGGAAGGAUUAGCCCGCGUUGGAUUAGGUAGUUGGUGGGGUAAUGGCCUACCAAGCCGACGAUCCAUAGCUGGUUUGAGAGGAUGUUCAGCCACACUGGGACUGAGACACGGCCCAGACUCCUACGGGAGGCAGCAGUGGGGAAUCUUAGACAAUGGGGGCAACCCUGAUCUAGCCAUGCCGCGUGAGUGAUGAAGGCCUUAGGGUUGUAAAGCUCUUUCAGCUGGGAAGAUAAUGACGGUACCAGCAGAAGAAGCCCCGGCUAACUCCGUG
rnacentral:rRNA from 1 species